rnacentral:piRNA from 1 species
UACGUGAUUUCGUCUCGGCCC